GACGAACGCUGGCGGCGUGCUUAACACAUGCAAGUCGAACGGAAAGGCCCUGCUUUUGUGGGGUGCUCGAGUGGCGAACGGGUGAGUAACACGUGAGUAACCUGCCCUUGACUUUGGGAUAACUUCAGGAAACUGGGGCUAAUACCGGAUAGGAGCUCCUGCUGCAUGGUGGGGGUUGGAAAGUUUCGGCGGUUGGGGAUGGACUCGCGGCUUAUCAGCUUGUUGGUGGGGUAGUGGCUUACCAAGGCUUUGACGGGUAGCCGGCCUGAGAGGGUGACCGGCGACAUUGGGACUGAGAUACGGCGCAGACUCCUACGGGAGGCAGCAGUGGGGAAUAUUGCACAAUGGGCGGAAGCCUGAUGCAGCAACGCCGCGUGCGGGAUGACGGCCUUCGGGUUGUAACCCGCUUUCGCCUGUGACGAAGCGUGAGUGACGGUAAUGGGUAAAGAAGCAACGGCUAACUACGUG
rnacentral:rRNA from 1 species